rnacentral:misc_RNA from 1 species
CUGUUCUUGCUGCUCGCUCUGCGUGAUCUGACACAUACCUGCGGAGGCGGUGCCCACGAUCUCCCUCAGUCGCUGGCUUGCUUUUAUUUUUAUUUUUCCAUCUUUUAGGUUUGCCUCACUUCAUCUGUCCUCCUGAUUCCGUGCGGUUGCCCGCAGCGCGCGUCUGGUAACACGCGGAGCGCUGCCGAAGGAGAGUGCCUCUGAUACGCGAGAGGAUCGGGCGCUUUCGGUUUUAUUUCCCUUCGCUGGUUGUGUACGAUGCCGCACUCCCCUCAGUCGACAGGGCAGAUCACCUGCCAGCAGUGCCAUGUUACGCUUGCCUACCCCAUCGGUGCCCCCUCGGUGCGGUGCCCGAUGUGCGCAGCCGUGACGCCAGUUCAGCAGUUCAGUGUGACGUGCGUGUGCUGCCGCUGCAUCCUCAUCCUGCCGCAGAACACCAGCCUUGCCAUGUGCCCGCGAUGCCGGACUGUGAUGUCUAUCCCGGCUAGUAUUCGCGAGGGUCACACCGGACCGCAGGCCCCGCCAAAACAAUGCGUUUACAUUGACCGCCCACCCACUGUCAACUCGUCGGGCGUUAAGGUGACUCACUUGGCUGUCGGCACGAAGCUCGACGACGACAACCCGCCGGGAAAGCGCUAGACAUAGUGCUGUAAAAGCAGGUCGCCCGCGACAAUCUUCACCGGUGCAGAGGCACGCGCCCUUCACGCUGCGUGCCCGCACGAAGUCGGCCUCGCCUAUGCUUCUUUGUGAUGUGCCAUAACCGCCUUGUGUGCUGUCGUGUGCGCGUCUUCUGUGAGCUGCUUGCCUCCUCCGCCGCUUUUGCCGUUCUCGUACAAGGCGUCUUGCUACCCGUUGACCCCGCGGCCUGCCCCACUUCCCCCUUUUUAUUUCAUUUUCUUUGGAGUAGGAGGGUGUGGGUGGGUGGGCUCCUCUGUGCCGUCCGACUUCGGUUUGUUUGACGUCCCGCCUGCCCCGUCCUCCCCUCGCUUCGAUGCUGCUGCUCUCGAUGUUGCUUCCUCGUUUGGGGGUCUUUCUUGUUUUUAUUUUGUUUACUGGCGGCUCUAUUGCCCGCCGGCCACCUUCAUGUGUGGCAUCGAGGUCCCCGCGCCUCACACGCCGUGGGGGGAGGAGAGGGGGGAGGCCAGGCAACCUGCAGCCUGCCCUCGGGUACGGCUGCUGACUCUUGCCGUUGGCGGACAGACCUGGGCUGGCGCUGUGCCAAAGAGACGUGCGGUGAUGCUGACGUUUGUGCCCGCUCACUAGGCAUGGUGUCGGCGGCUCGACAACUACGGAAACACCGACUCGUGUGAAAGGCGUGCAGAGUCCGGAGCGGGCGUCGUGCCCCUGCGGCCAUGGACUCCGACGAACAUCUCGCCUGCCGCGGCACAUGCGGGCAGGCGAUUCAUCGACGCCCGAGGUGGCAUCGAUGGAGAUGGACGAUGCGGGCAGCGACCCCCCUCCCCCGGGCAGCGGCGUUGUGAGGCGUGCGCCAAGGUGCAGAGGCGCUGCUGCUGUGCACAGGCACUGUGAAGCGGAGCUGGCACGGUGCAUGGCGCGACCGAGUCCUGUGGGCGCCGAUGUGGAGUGCCGCGGCACGAGGCGACUGAGGGCGAAGCGUGGCGCACAGGCAGAGCGCGCGUGGCCUGCGAGGGCCGUGGCGUGCAGCUGGCCAGCUUCCUCCUCGGGCUGGCCCGGCGUCCGUGCGCCUAGCCGACCCCCUGCUGCCCGCGCGACCGACGCCACCGCCUCCGCCCUGGAGCAGGACCGUGGACGUGGACGGCGUGGAUGGAGGCGCGCGGUCCGGCCGAGCCGGUGUUGCGCCGGUGGCGCAGCGGGUGUGCGAGGAAGAGGGCCGAGGAGGGACAGGAGGAGCCCGUGAGACGCACGGCCCGCCUCGACGGCAUGACGGCUCGCGCUAGAGGGCCCGGAUGCAGCCGUGGCGCGGCAGGGGCAGGAGAGAGGUGUGGCUGUGCGCGUAUGUCUGCUGGCGUGCUCGUGGUGAAAUGGGCACGCGGAUGCGGAGGAAGUUUCAUUGUGGUGCUCAUUGACGUGACGCGAUGCGAUGCUGGUCUUCUGCAUGAAUGUGCCUGCGGGCGGAGCGCGGGCUGAGUUCUUGUGAAGAUGGCGUGCUCUCUGUGGGCCUGCGGCUUGCUUGCGUUUACCAGACGCGCAAAUACAGUGUUGUGCUUCCGGGCCUUUUCGUGUCUUCAGGCUCCUGUGGACGAGGUGGUGUGUCUCUGUGCGUGUGUGUGUACGCGCAUGUGUCUGUUGUGGGCGUCGUCCUCGUUCGUGUCUUCUCGUGCUUUCAGCGUUGUGUAUUUGCAGCGUGUCCGGCGCAGCCGCUUCUUUUCUCCGUUGAUUUCCCGGCUUGUCGCGUUGACGUUUGUGCCUUUUAUUUGCUUCUUCAAAGAAGGACGUGCUUGCGUAUGUAUCGCUGUGCCGUUCUGGUGGAUGACGUGUGUUUCAACGGCACCGCAUCUUUAACAGCUCUCAAUGGCGUCCGGGCACAUGGGUUUUGUGCUCUCUAUCUGGGUG